UGGGGAAUAUUGCACAAUGGGCGCAAGCCUGAUGCAGCAACGCCGCGUGAGGGACGACGGCCUUCGGGUUGUAAACCUCUUUUGGCAGGGAAGAAGCGAAAGUGACGGUACCUGCAGAAAAAGCACUGGCUAACUACGUGCCAGCAGCCGCGGUGAUACGUAGGGUGCAAGCGUUGUCCGGAAUUAUUGGGCGUAAAGAGCUCGUAGGCGGUUUGUCGCGUCUGCUGUGAAAACCCGAGGCUCAACCUCGGGCCUGCAGUGGGUACGGGCAAACUAGAGUGCGGUAGGGGAGAUUGGAAUUCCUGGUGUAGCGGUGGAAUGCGCAGAUAUCAGGAGGAACACCGAUGGCGAAGGCAGAUCUCUGGGCCGUAACUGACGCUGAGGAGCGAAAGCAUGGGGAGCGAACA
rnacentral:rRNA from 1 species